GUUGCAGCAAGCCGAGUUGUCGGAAGAGGACAUGGUCCGUGUGCUGGCGGACUGUGCUGUUACCCGGCUGAAGGGAGCAAAGCUAUCUGAGGUGGACGUUCAAACUCUGAAGGCUGCAUUGGUUAAGGUUAACCAGGCUACCAAAGAACAGCCUGAAGAUGUGGGCCAGCACAUCUUGGGAUUUUUGCUGGAGCAGUGUUUGGACGAGGAAAUGAUGCUCAGUGAAUAAAGAAAUGAUCCGUCCAACUUGGAGAGGAAGGUCUUGAAGAAGCAGAGAAUAAAUUUCCAUGCAAAAACACGACUGUGAUCACCAGGUGUCCUUAAAGAAACUGGAUAUGUGCUGCAUGUUUUUAUCAGAGGCUUUCUGAGUUGCUUUUUGGAGUUUUGAAAGCUGAUAGGAAGUCUGUCAAUGUGUGUUUAUGACAUGAGUUGAUGUUUUGUCGUAUCUGUACUCAUGCAUUUGACCGACAAACCUGUGUGAAAAAAGCAGCUUUGUCUGUGGCCUUAUGAUUCAAAAUAUGCCAAUCCAGGUCCCCGGAUAGUCUGUUUUACAUGUUCAGAACCCCUCUGUUAACUUCAAGAUAUUAAAUAAGUAAUUGUUGGA